rnacentral:misc_RNA from 1 species
GAUGAAGCUGUUGAAACUGCAAAACAAUUGGCAAUCCAGGAAGGUUUACUGGUUGGAAUAUCUUCUGGAGCUGCUGCUGCUGCUGCAAUGAAGGUUGGAAAGAGACCAGAAAAUGCAGGGAAGCUGAUUGCAGUUGUUUUCCCAAGCUUCGGUGAGCGAUACCUGUCCUCAGUUCUUUUCCAGUCAAUUCGAGAAGAAUGUGAGAAGAUGCAACCUGAGCCAUGAAUACUCCCAUGUUCUAGUUUGUCUACUAGAAUAGCAAUUUUUGUCCCCAAAUUUCAUCCAAUGCAUAUGCAUACACAUAAUUAUAUGCUUCAUAAUUGAUUGAAUCUGGCUUUAAGAUUAUCCUCUUAUAGCUGGUUUUACUCAACACUAUUAUUUUACCUUGCAAGAAG